UACGUAGGUGGCAAGCGUUGUCCGGAUUUAUUGGGCGUAAAGCGCGCGCAGGCGGUUCGAAAAGUCCAUGGUGAAAUCGCCCGGCUCAACUGGGCGGGGUCGGCGGAUACGGCGUGGCUGGAGCAAGCUAGGGGGCAAUGGAAUUCCCGGUGUAGUGGUGGAAUGCGUAGAUAUCGGGAGGAACACCAGUGGCGAAGGCGGUUGCCUGGAGCUUUGCUGACGCUGAGGCGCGAAAGCGUGGGGCGCGAUCCGG
rnacentral:rRNA from 1 species